ACGCCUCAUUCUUCUCCUUCACGCCAGAACCCUCUUUAUCAAUUCCGUAGCAAUCUUCGUUGAUAUCUUAUUUACAAUCAUUAGAACAACUUGAUUGCAGAUUUAUAUCCUUUGUAAAACCCUAGGUUUCACAUUCUAUGAAGAAAAUAGUCAUGAUCUUGAAUCAACGAUCCUGAAUAUAGCAUCAUCAGGGAAAGAUUUCUCAUUGAAACCCUAGCCACCUUCAAGCAUCGCACCAUUCGUUUUCUCACUGGAGUGUAGAUCGCAAAAGCUUUUCCAGUGCGGUUAUACCAAUCUCGCUGUUCAAUAGAAAAAUCCGUCUUUUUUGUUUUUAUUAUAAUUAUUUGUCUCGAUUACAUAGUCAUCUACUGAUGUAAUGAAUUUAUUAUUCGUUUAUCGUUUUAUGAUUGUCGUAUCAGUAUGAUAGGUACCAGGUAGGACUCAAGUUAGAUCUAAUUUCUUUCUUUUUUUGUUCAUAUGUGUUUGAUUUGGGAAAAGCCAUUUAAGCAUUGAAGAACAACUGCA